GUCUCAGCGGCAGUCACCAGAGCGGUGGUUGGAUCCGACCAAAUGACUGCCUGAUUUAAUUAAAGCGCAACUGCGGCAGACAGAAACAAACCAUUUAGAGAGGAAAACACACAGAAAAAAAGAGUCGCAGCAGCAGCAGUGACCCACUUCGAGGGCAGAUUAUACGAUUGUGGGGGCCAACACUGAUUGAGAAUUGUGUCAAAGAUGAGCCCUACAGCGGCCUGAACCUAAAGGUUGCGCCGCCACCAGUCAGAGUCAGCCGAGUGUGGCGCAGAUUGGAGGAUGAAGAUUUUGUUGGCCACGUCCCGCGGCUGCAUCUCUGGCGGAUGCGAUGGUGUUGCCCCACUUAAGUUGCACAUUGUUCUCUUGCAGCAAUAUCUUUCGCAAAAAAACACAGAUAAAUGCAAGAGCAACAUAAAAGAGACUCAGACUCCAA